rnacentral:piRNA from 1 species
AACUGAGGCUCAAAGAUUUGGAGAUUUACU